CACACCUAUAGAACAACCCGGUAUUUCGGGCGAAAAACGAGACGCCCGGUUUUACCCUUUAUCGGCCUCUUAAUACAUUAACAAGUCUUUAAUGGAUUCCCGCAAAGACAAUCAUUAAAACUAAACGAGGAUGCUUCAAGGUGAUCAAAUGGUGUCCCCACAGGAAUUGUUCCGCAAAGAUGAUUGUGGCUUAAAUCCAAAUGCCCCACAUAUGCUGCCGACGAAAGUGAACCGGGUAUCGGACCCUUCAGAUUGUUGUAAGACAAGUCAAGAGCCAUGAAGUAAGAUUUCGGUCCGAAAGCAUCCGGUAUGUUACCUUCAAUAGCAU
rnacentral:lncRNA from 1 species